CUUCACGUUAAGCUCCAAUUAAGCUUUUCGCGGUAAGGUCAUGGUAUUCAGAUUUUCUGAAUUUUGCAGAGUGGUUUCUCCCUCUGUUUGACGCCUCCCUGUUAACUUCGAGAGCCGUAAAUUUUGCGGCUCUUUUUCU
rnacentral:sRNA from 1 species